AAAAAGGGCUUCCGUCCUGAGCGGCACACGCAGAGCAGCUUGGAUGCUCCACCUGUGGAAUCAGCAUCAAGAGAUUUCAGAAGCAUCAUUUUUGGUUCUUGGGCAGCUGGUGAUCAUUGGUCCUGGCACCCAC